UGGGGAAUAUUGCACAAUGGGCGCAAGCCUGAUGCAGCGACGCCGCGUGAGGGAUGACGGCCUUCGGGUUGUAAACCUCUUUCAGUAGGGAAGAAGCGAAAGUGACGGUACCUGCAGAAGAAGCGCCGGCUAACUACGUGCCAGCAGCCGCGGUAAUACGUAGGGCGCAAGCGUUAUCCGGAAUUAUUGGGCGUAAAGAGCUCGUAGGCGGUUUGUCGCGUCUGCUGUGAAAGACCGGGGCUCAACUCCGGUUCUGCAGUGGGUACGGGCAGACUAGAGUGAUGUAGGGGAGACUGGAAUUCCUGGUGUAGCGGUGAAAUGCGCAGAUAUCAGGAGGAACACCGAUGGCGAAGGCAGGUCUCUGGGCAUUAACUGACGCUGAGGAGCGAAAGCAUGGGGAGCGAACAGG
rnacentral:rRNA from 1 species